rnacentral:rRNA from 1 species
UCAGGACGAACGCUGGCGGCGUGCUUAACACAUGCAAGUCGAGCGACAGCAUCUUUCGGGGUGUAUGGAGCGGCGAACGGGUGAGUAACACGUGGGCAACCUGCCCUCAGCUCUGGGAUAACUCCGGGAAACCGGGGCUAAUACCGGAUACGACUGCUCCUGGCAUCUGGGGUGGUGGAAAGUUCUUCGGCUGAGGAUGGGCCCGCGGCCUAUCAGCUUGUUGGUGGGGUCACGGCCCACCAAGGCGACGACGGGUAGCCGGCCUGAGAGGGCGACCGGCCACACUGGGACUGAGACACGGCCCAGACUCCUACGGGAGGCAGCUAGUGGGGAAUAUUGCGCAAUGGGCGAAAGCCUGACGCAGCGACGCCGCGUGAGGGAUGAAGGCCUUCGGGUUGUAAACCUCUUUCAGCAGGGACGAAGCGAGAGUGACGGUACCUGCAGAAG